ACUCCAAUAUAAGCGACAUGAAUUCGUCGAGCGGGCUUCCUCCUCUGAGCACCUCAGAGGAGCGCCAUCCCUCCCCCACUGCCUAGGAAGGGCUGGGGGAGGCAACCUCCAAGCAGGCUCCGCCGGAGGCCCCUACGGGGGGCGGGUUCAACACCCUUGUGGCUGAGGCCUCGGCCUUGGCCUCCAAGGACCCCAUGGAGAAGAACCCCUCCUUAACCUAGGGCAGCCGAGCAAUUCGGCGCGUGCUGACCCGGAGCCACCUCGGUAGCCCCUUAUGACGCCCAUCCCUCCCAUGACGGGGAGGGCCGAGGUGGCCUGUCCAUCCUCUCCUGCCAUAGGGCAGGAGUUGGCGGGGUCGACCAAGGAGAUGGAGGCAUACACGAUGGACUCUUCCAUUGUUGCCAAUCACCUUGUCCUACUGGGUGCGGCGCUGCAGAGUUACUGGUCCGCAGAGGCCGGUAUCAAGGAGGCCUUCAGGGGCCACUAUCAUGGUUUUGAGAUUUUGGCCUCGGUUUUGGCAUCCAAUGCGAAAGAGUUGGAGGAGCUAAACCAAAAGCCCGACCGGUCAAGAAGGAUGCGGAUCUGCUCAAGAAGCAGAUGGAGGUUGCUGAAGGUAAAUAUGGAAAGUCUUGUAGCUUUUGCGAAUUUGCGAUGCCCGCUUUGAGUUAUGAUUCUAACACUGAUGUGUUCGCGGCUGCCUCUGCGGAGCUGGAAAAGCUCCGAUCCGAGCUGAAAACGGCUCGGCAAGUGGCCGAACAGCAAAGGGCCACGGCAGAGAGGGCCAACACAGAGCUGGUGAAGGAAAAGCAGGUCAGCGAGAGGCACGUGGCCCGGGUUGCCGAGGUUGAAGAAAACCUGAAAGGCUUUUGCGCACAGCGUGAUGCUCUUUAGAAGGAGAAGGACACACUCAUGUCCGAGCUGGCCGCAGCCAGCUCGACGUGCAAAGAGGCCAAGACCCAAGCCCGGGCUGAUCACGAGACGCUUCAACAAGUGAAGCAAAUCGCCGAUGAGGUCUUUAGGGACCUACUGUGGAGUGCCGUGAACGCUGGUGCACACUUCGCUACCCAACCUGACGGGUCCAAGGAGAAGACCUUCUCGGCCUGAUACGUCUCCGUUGCAUUUAUAACUUUUUAUUGUUUCAUGUUAAUAUUAUACAAUUUUUACAUACUUUUGGCAACAUUUUAUAUUAUUUUUUGGGACUAACAUAUUGAUUCA